rnacentral:lncRNA from 1 species
UAGGAAUUCACUUGGACUCCCUGAGUGUAGUGGAAGCCUGUGUGCAAAGCAGCUUUCUCUCUGACGAUUCAUCUGCCCUGUUGUAACAGCUUCCUCCUAAGAUUUUUCCAGAGGAAAGGUGUUUACGUGCCUAAUACUGUGGCAUUGUGGGAAGUAUGCAGCUAUCACAAGCAUCUGUUGUGUGCUGUUUGCCCUCCUCCAAAUCCUUGGUAGUGGACCUGAUGUGCCAGAUUUGACCUUAGAAGACUACAGUGAACCUUACAAACCUUUUGAAAUGAAAUGAAAGCAAAAUAGAAAGGCCCGGGUUCAUUGUUGAAGCUCCAGGAGAAUUUAUGGAGACCUCACUGCAAAAAAAUUCAGCCCUGACUAAAGCUCAGAUUAAGUGUGUUCAUCAGAAGUAAGACCUCUAUUCCUUGAAUUGGAGUGUGUGUGUGUGGUGUGUCUAAGGUCAUCUAUUUAGAGUAUUUAGAGUCACCAACAAUCCUCUAUAUGUAUAUAAGCACCACUCCCUCAAGAGGAAGCUCUUCCCAUGUGUGUGUGUGUGUGUGUGUGUGUGUGUGUGUGUGUGUGUGUGUGCAUAUGUAUGUGCUUGUGUAUAGGGGUAAAUGUACAAGUGCUGGUGAAGUUAUAUACGUAUAUACAUGCAUGUGAAGGCCAGAAUACAUGAUCAGAUGUUGUUCCUGAGACAACUGACCUUGAGCUUGCUGAAGAGGCAAGCCUUGCUAGUCAGUGACUGCAGUGAUCCUCCAAUCUCCACCUCCCAUCCCUGAGCUUAUGAGAUCAACCUGUUUUUCUUGGGUUCUGGUGUUCUUACUCAGGUCCCCAUGCUUCCAAAGCAGGCACCCUGCUGUGUUCCAAGCCCUAUUUCUUUAGAAUCCCAAGUGUCCUUAGAACUCACUUUUAGCAGCAGAAGUAAUACUAGCUGUUGGAAAGCAGGGGAGCUUUCCCAUCUUUACCAUUGCAGGAUCCAGCUCUCAUUGGAGAAGGCUCAGGAUAGACUAAGUAUGAGAAAAAGUGUCAACAAG